CUUCACAUAACAGAAGUGGAUAUUCCGGCGUGCCUGCCUUGUUUCAAUCCCGUAACUUAGUUAUUUAGUCACACAACGUGACUCUAUCACGUUAAUUAUGUACUAGUUAGAUUGCUAGCCACUCUGUGAUGGUUUAUCCCUAGAGUGGGCUGUUUUUGUUGGAUAAUACACCAUACCUGAUUUUACUACAACCAGCAUCUUCACCUAGGACCUUGCAGUAGGACUUACUCACCACAGCAGCCAACCAGCGUUAGCGUGCCAAAAGAAUUCAUCUCUAUGGACUUGCAACCCUACUUUUAACCGGCUGUUGUGUAAAAGCUAAGUUUAUUUACUUUUUCUGUAUGUACUUUUGGGUAAGAUAUAUUUGCUACAUUGUAAACUUUUCGUAUGCAUACGAUUAGGAAGAGUACAUAUAUUUGCGUGAUAGAUAGGGUUUUAGGUCGUUGUUUUUUUUUUUCUUUUUGAUUCAGCAUAAGUAGGAGUUAGUUAAAAUAAAUAAAAUCAUGUCUUGUUUAAUAAUCAUAAAUAAUUGUAUCUUAAAAUUUAAUAGGGAAUCGGGUUGUAAAAUUUUGUCGUGGAGUUUAAAAUAGGGAAUACGUCUAGUAGGUUUUUUUUGUAUAAUAUAUAAAGAGUCACUGACCAACUCAUUUAUAUAGACCUUUUUGCUAUUCCAACGGACUUUUGAUUUGGAUUUUGAUUUUAAUACUUUUGCUUGGCCAGUGAUAGUGGAUAAUUGCUUGUUGAGUGGCCUUUGCGGUCCUAUUUUAUCUUUUCCCCAUCCACUAUCACUGUUAUUACGUUGCGUUAUAUGUAAAGUGUUAACAUUUAAUAUUUAUUAUUAAUAUAUUUGUAUGUAUUAA